GGGCCUAUGGCGCAAUUGGUAGCGCGUAGUAAGUUCACCCUGAUAGUCUAAAUCAGGAUUACAGCAGCAUCUAACAUUUUCAUCAGCGACUCCAGAUCGUAAGGUUAUCCGUUCGAUUCGGGUUGGGCUCA
rnacentral:tRNA from 2 species